rnacentral:rRNA from 1 species
UACGUAGGGUGCAAGCGUUGUCCGGAAUUAUUGGGCGUAAAGAGCUCGUAGGCGGUCUGUCGCGUCGGAUGUGAAAACCCAGGGCUCAACCCUGGGCCUGCAUUCGAUACGGGCAGACUAGAGUUCGGUAGGGGGAGACUGGAAUUCCUGGUGUAGCGGUGAAAUGCGCAGAUAUCGGGAGGAACACCAGUGGCGAAGGCGGCGCUCUGGGCCGGAACUGACGCUGAGGCGCGAAAGCUGGGGGGAGCAAACAGG